AUGUCCCCAUACCAUGAGGUGCACAGGGGCAGUCAGCUGACCAGUGUCCCUCUUGGUGGCAC
rnacentral:pre_miRNA from 1 species